UCCUGGAAGAGUGGAGGGUUAUUAUAGUGGAUACCAGACCACUAGGCGGAUAGGUGGGACUAGGUCCAUGAUACCGGAAUGGGAAAAGUGAAUGUACUGAAACUGUGUAACUGGACUGGAAGUUGUGGAAAAGAGAAAAAUUGUAUGGAUCAUUUUGAAAUGCUCCAGCGCCUGCUUGCAUGAUAAUAACGGUGACCAUUGGCUGUUAUAAAAGUUAUUUGCAUGAGGACCAGUCUGGCUGUUUAAUUCAUAACCGGAGUUGGCCUAUCAAGUAAAGCAACAAAGAAGGUGUUUGAAUGACAGAUUGGAAGAUGAACAGGCAUCUGCUGAAUCGAAGAUAAAAACCGGCUUACAGUAAGCAAGUCAUUUGCUCAAUAAAUAGCAAGAUGUUGAGCAAACUGAAAUAAGGUAUCUCCCUGAAGUCUUUCACUUGCAACACACAUGAGACGCUGAGUGCUGCCAUUCCUGGAGCUUUUUGUCCCCAUUAAAGAAAUGACUGUUAGAUCAAACAGAAGGAUUUGUGUAAUGUAUGACAUGGUGGUUUAUUCAGCAUUGGACUCGGGUGUUGAAGGCCUACUGGAGCUGGCGCCUUUAAAAGCAAUGGCCACUGUGACUGAGGGAGUUUCAGAUGAUGAACUAACAAUGGCUUCAAGGUUUAUCAGCUUUUCUGUUUCUGCUGUUGCUGGAGC